UACAGAGGUCCCAAGCGUUGUUCGGAUUCACUGGGCGUAAAGGGAGCGUAGGCGGCCUUAUAAGUCAGUGGUGAAAUCUUUGGGCUUAACCCAAAAAUUGCCAUUGAUACUGUAGGGCUUGAGUACAGUUGCUGUGGGCGGAAUAUGACAUGUAGUGGUGAAAUACAUAGAGAUGUCAUAGAACACCGAUUGCGAAGGCAGCUCACAAAACUGUAACUGACGCUGAGGCUCGAAAGUGCGGGGAUCAAACAGG
rnacentral:rRNA from 1 species